rnacentral:rRNA from 1 species
GAUGAACGCUGGCGGCGUGCCUAAUACAUGCAAGUCGAGCGAACGGACGAGAAGCUUGCUUCUCUGAUGUUAGCGGCGGACGGGUGAGUAACACGUGGAUAACCUACCUAUAAGACUGGGAUAACUUCGGGAAACCGUAGCUAAUACCGGAUAAUAUUUUGAACCGCAUGGUUCAAAAGUGAAAGACGGUCUUGCUGUCACUUCUAGAUGGAUCCGCGCUGCAUUAGCUAGUUGGUAAGGUAACGGCUUACCAAGGCAACGAUGCAUAGCCGACCUGAGAGGGUGAUCGGCCACACUGGAACUGAGACACGGUCCAGACUCCUACGGGAGGCAGCAGUAGGGAAUCUUCCGCAAUGGGCGAAAGCCUGACGGAGCAACGCCGCGUGAGUGAUGAAGGUCUUCGGAUCGUAAAACUCUGUUAUUAGGGAAGAACAUAUGUGUAAGUAACUGUGCACAGCUUGACGGUACCUAAUCAGAAAGCCACGGCUAACUACGUG